AGCAGCCGCGGUAAUUCCAGCUCCAAUAGCGUAUAUUAAAGUUGUUGCAGUUAAAAAGCUCGUAGUUGAAUUUCGGGAUCAAUAUGUUGGUCGUGCCUUGGUACGUACUAAUUUAUUGGUUUCUUCCUUCUGACGAACCAUGAUGUCAUUAAUUUGGUGUUAUGGGGAAUCAGGACUGUUACUUUGAAAAAAUUAGAGUGUUUAAAGCAGGCUCACGCUUGAAUACAUUAGCAUGGAAUAAUGAAAUAGGACGUUUGAUUCUAUUUUGUUGGUUUCUAGGAUCGACGUAAUGAUUAAUAGGGAUAGUUGGGGGCAUUAGUAUUCAAUUGUCAGAGGUGAAAUUCUUGGAUUUAUUGAAGACUAACUACUGCGAAAGCAUUUGCCAAGGAUGUUUCAUUAAUCAAGAACGAAAGUUAGGGGAUCGAAGACGAUCAGAUACCGUCGUAGUCUUAACCAUAAACUAUAGCCGACUAGGGAUCGGAUGAUGUUAAUUUUUUAAUGUACUCAUUCGGCGCCUUAC
rnacentral:rRNA from 1 species